rnacentral:rRNA from 1 species
UGGACGCCAGUCUGCAUGGAGCCGACCUUGAAAUACCACCCUUUAAUGUUUGAUGUUCUAACGUGGACCCGUAAUCCGGGUUGCGGACAGUGUCUGGUGGGUAGUUUGACUGGGGCGGUCUCCUCCUAAAGAGUAACGGAGGAGCACGAAGGUUGGCUAAUCCUGGUCGGACAUCAGGAGGUUAGUGCAAUGGCAUAAGCCAGCUUGACUGCGAGCGUGACGGCGCGAGCAGGUGCGAAAGCAGGUCAUAGUGAUCCGGUGGUUCUGAAUGGAAGGGCCAUCGCUCAACGGAUAAAAGGUACUCCGGGGAUAACAGGCUGAUACCGCCCAAGAGUUCAUAUCGACGGCGGUGUUUGGCACCUCGAUGUCGGCUCAUCACAUCCUGGGGCUGAAGUAGGUCCCAAGGGUAUGGCUGUUCGCCAUUUAAAGUGGUACGCGAGCUGGGUUUAGAACGUCGUGAGACAGUUCGGUCCCUA